CUUUGCCAGUUUUGACUCAGAAGUGUGUCACACCAACGUUACAAAAGUGCCCCCUUGCAGGACAGGAACUGCAAGUGAAGUGUCCUGCUGGAUUCUGCACCUCGGGCUCGUCUAACAAACGUUACUAAUGAAACCGCUGUUAAGAUGGCGUCCAUCAGUCCAUCACUCCCUCAAGGAAGAACGGCGAGGCCAAGUUGACGAGGGCUUGUGAAAAUGAGUUCGGGUUGUCUGGUCUACUGCAUCUCUGUCUGGACUUCAUCACGAGAUCAUUUGUCCUCUGAGCCACACGGUGGAGCUACAGUUCCAUUAUAACAACGCAUCACAAUGACGUUCCCACCAAAAACGUACACCAUUUUGAAUUUUGGUGGGCCUCUUAGCUGUUUAUCCCACGAUAAAGGACUAUAAGAAAAGAAAACGAGUGAUGUACAUCGUUUUGUUUAUUAAAAUAUAAGCACUUCCAAAAAAAUAAAAUAUAUUCAAUUCAAUGUA